UACGGAGGAUCCAAGCGUUAUCCGGAUUUAUUGGGUUUAAAGGGUGCGUAGGCGGCCUGUUAAGUCAGAGGUGAAAGACGGUAGCUCAACUAUCGCAGUGCCUUUGAUACUGACGGGCUUGAAUAAACUAGAGGUAGGCGGAAUGAGACAAGUAGCGGUGAAAUGCAUAGAUAUGUCUCAGAACACCGAUUGCGAAGGCAGCUUACUAUGGUUUUAUUGACGCUGAGGCACGAAAGCGUGGGGAUCGAACAGG
rnacentral:rRNA from 1 species